UGUUCUUGUUUUCUGGCCUGGCCCAGGAUGGCGGUCAUCCACACUGCGUACCCUCUGAGGGCAGGGCCUGUGGCUGUCCUCAAUUUCACCUUCCGGUCCCAUCUUGAGAGAGGUGCCCUUGCCCAGGUUGCCCUGCUGUGCCUGCUAGGCUAGGGCCAGCAGGUUGAGAUGCACCUGGCCAGGUCUCUUGUCCCAUGGGGAAGCUGACUGGCCACAUCUAAGGCUGCCUCAAAGGCUGGGCAGAAUUUGAGUCUGGAGGAAGUGCUUGGAGGACCUGGGGUGGCUCCGCUGAGGAUGUGGACCCAGGGUGAAGCUUGGAAGGACAAGUCAGGGCUGCCAGGGGUGGGGCAGGGGGAGGUGGGUGUGCUGGGGAGCCUGGUGCAUCUGGGGAAGUGUCCCAGCUGCAGGGAUAGGUCCUUUCCAGCCUUCGAGGUUGGCCAGUCGAGGCG
rnacentral:lncRNA from 1 species